GUCUGGGAAGUCUCUAAUGGAAAGGCCAAUCCCAAACGCGGGUAAUCUAAUGAUGUCAUUAGUCGUUAAGCAGAUCCUUUUCUGGAAAGAUUCAAUUUGAGGCAAAUCAGUGCGCCCCCUGGUGCUGCAUCCUGCACUUUCCAGACUGGGUUAAGACCCAGAACAAUGAAUAGCAAAGGAACCUAGCGUGAGUCAAGUGCUGACCUGGAUCCCUGCGAAGAUAUGUGGCCAACUUUGGCAAUGGUCAUAUGAAAAAAGGGGAAUUGGAAAGCCAAAGGUUAUUUCCUCUCGUUUUAAAGCUGCCUCAGAUCCCUAAAGCCUUGGGUAUUUGUUUGGAAGCCUCAUAGUGAGAAUACAGAAAAGGGUUAGGGAGAAACUGAACCUGGCCCCAUCAUGUACCAGCGCAGUAACCCUGGCCAGUCUCUCCAGGCUUGUUUUCAUAGCUCUGCUAAGACCACAGAUUUAAAGUCAAGAGGUGAUCUAGUCCAAACCUCUCAUUUUCCAGAAAAAGAAGGCUUGAAGAGCACAGGGUGUGACACACAUAGUUCAGAAAAGAAUCUGACUUCAUUUUUGAAACAAGGAUGUUUGGGACAUCAAGAUGGCAUAAUGGACAGAACAACAGCCCUGGAGUUAGAGAAAACCUGAGUUCAAGAUACUUGACACUUACUAGCUCCUAGGUAAGUCACUUAAUAAUGCCAAAUGCCUCAGCCCAAUUCCCCCCCCCCCAAAAAAAAAAAAAAAAACAA